rnacentral:rRNA from 1 species
AGGGAAUCUUCCGCAAUGGACGAAAGUCUGACGGAGCAACGCCGCGUGAGUGAUGAAGGUUUUCGGAUCGUAAAGCUCUGUUGCCAGGGAAGAACGUCCGUUAGAGUAACUGCUAACGGAGUGACGGUACCUGAAAAGAAAGCCCCGGCUAACUACGUGCCAGCAGCCGCGGUAAUACGUAGGGGGCGAGCGUUGUCCGGAAUUAUUGGGCGUAAAGCGCGCGCAGGCGGCUGUUAAGUCUGGUGUUUAAUCCUGGGGCUCAACCCCGGGUCGCACUGGAAACUGGACAGCUUGAGUGCAGAAGAGGAGAGUGGAAUUCCACGUGUAGCGGUGAAAUGCGUAGAGAUGUGGAGGAACACCAGUGGCGAAGGCGGCUCUCUGGUCUGUAACUGACGCUGAGGCGCGAAAGCGUGGGGAGCAAAC